rnacentral:rRNA from 1 species
GAUGAACGCUGGCGGCGUGCCUAAUACAUGCAAGUCGAGCGAACGGACGAGAGGCUUGCUUCUCUGAUGUUAGCGGCGGACGGGUGAGUAACACGUGGAUAACCUACCUAUAAGACUGGGAUAACUUCGGGAAACCGGAGCUAAUACCGGAUGAUAUUUUGAACCGCAUGGUUCAAAAGUGAAAGACGGUCUUGCUGUCACUUAUAGAUGGAUCCGCGCUGCAUUAGCUAGUUGGUAAGGUAACGGCUUACCAAGGCAACGAUGCAUAGCCGACCUGAGAGGGUGAUCGGCCACACUGGAACUGAGACACGGUCCAGACUCCUACGGGAGGCAGCAGUAGGGAAUCUGCCGCAAUGGGCGAAAGCCUGACGGAGCAACGCCGCGUGAGUGAUGAAGGUCUUCGGAUCGUAAAACUCUGUUAUUAGGGAAGAACAUAUGUGUAAGUAACUGUGCACAUCUUGACGGUACCUAAUCAGAAAGCCACGGCUAACUACGUG